rnacentral:tRNA from 1 species
AGUAGAGUAGCUCAGUGAUUAGAGAGCGGCAGGCUUAGGGAAACCGAACCUGUAGGUCGCUGGUUAAAGUCCAGCCCCUACUC